GGGGAUGUGGCUCAGUGAUAGGGCGCUUGCCUAGUAUGCAUGAGGUCUUGGGUUUUAUCCUCAGCACUCCA
rnacentral:tRNA from 1 species